GAUGAACGCUGGCGGCGUGCCUAAUACAUGCAAGUCGAGCGAACAGACGAGGAGCUUGCUCCUCUGACGUUAGCAGCGGACGGGUGAGUAACACGUGGAUAACCUACCUAUAAGACUGGGAUAACUUCGGGAAACCGGAGCUAAUACCGGAUAAUAUAUUGAACCGCAUGGUUCAAUAGUGAAAGACGGUUUUGCUGUCACUUAUAGAUGGAUCCGCGCCGCAUUAGCUAGUUGGUAAGGUAACGGCUUACCAAGGCGACGAUGCGUAGCCGACCUGAGAGGGUGAUCGGCCACACUGGAACUGAGACACGGUCCAGACUCCUACGGGAGGCAGCAGUAGGGAAUCUUCCGCAAUGGGCGAAAGCCUGACGGAGCAACGCCGCGUGAGUGAUGAAGGUCUUCGGAUCGUAAAACUCUGUUAUUAGGGAAGAACAAAUGUGUAAGUAACUAUGCACGUCUUGACGGUACCUAAUCAGAGAGCCACGGCUAACUACGCG
rnacentral:rRNA from 1 species